rnacentral:lncRNA from 1 species
CCUCGCUCUCUCUCUCCUCUCUCCCUCCUCUCUCUCUCUCUCUCCUCCUCUCUCUCUCCUCUCUCCUCCCUCUCCUCUCUCUCUCCCUCGCUCUCUCUCUCCUCUCUCCUCCUCCUCUCUCCUCCUCCUCUCUCCUCUCUCUCUCCCUCUCUCUCGCUCUCUCUCCUCUCUCUCCUCACCUCUCUCUCCUCUCUCUCCCUCCCUCCAUAGAAAUGCUGGGCCGGGUUGAAGGCACAUGUUCAUAUCUCAGAAUCUCCCUGCCCUCUUUUCCACAGACGCCUGCUUCACAUGGUGAGGCAGGACAGAGGGAGAGAGGGAGGACAGAGAGGGAGAGGGGCAGGACAGAGAUGGAAAGAGGCAGGACAGGGAGAGAGAGAGGCAGGACGGGGAGAGAGAGAGAGAGGCAGAGAGGCAGGACAGAGAGGGAGAGAUGCAGGACAGAGAGGGAGAGGGGCAGGACAGAGAGGAAGAGAGACAGGACAGAGAGGGAAAGAGGCAGGACAGAGAGAGAGAGAGGCAGGAUAUAGGGAGAGAGGCAGGACAGAGAAGGAGAGAGCAGGACAGAGAGGGGAGAGAGAGGACAGGGGGAGAGAGGACAGAGAGGAGAGAGGCAGGAUAGAGAGGGGAGAGAGAGGACAGAGAGGGGAGAGAGAGGACAGAGAGCGAGGGGAGAGAGAGGACAGAGAGGAGAGAGGCAGGAUAGAGAGGGGAGAGAGAGGACAGAGAGGGAGAGAGGCAGGGAUAGAGAGGGGAGAGAGAGGACAGAGAGGGAGAGAGGCAGGAUAGAGAGGGAGAGAGGCAGGAUAGAGAGGGGAGAGAGAGGAUAGAGAGGGGAGAGAGAGGAUAGAGAGGGGAGAGAGAGGACAGAGAGGGGAGAGAGAGGACAGAGAGAGAGGGGAGAGAGAGGACAGAGAUGAGAGAGGCAGGAUAUAGGGAGAGAGGCAGGACAGAGAAGGAGAGAGCAGGACAGAGAGGGGAGAGAGAGGACAGGGGGAGAGAGGACAGAGAGGAGAGAGGCAGGAUAGAGAGGGGAGAGAGAGGACAGAGAGGGGAGAGAGAGGACAGAGAGCGAGGGGAGAGAGAGGACAGAGAGGAGAGAGGCAGGGGAGAGAGAGGGGAGAGGCAGGAUAGAGAGGGGUGAGAGAACAGAGAGGGGAGAGGCAGGACAGAGAGAGAGAGAGAGGAGUAGAAUGGAGCAGAUCACAGUUGAAUGUUUAAUGACAGUGUGUUAGCUCCUGGAACGCUGCCAGCCCAACUAUGUCUGCCUGCCUGCCUGUGUGUCUACCCACCCGCCUGCAUUUCUGGGGCGGGCCAGGCUGAGUGUAGUCUAACAUGUGACUGGGGGUGUAUUUCAACAGGGUUAUGUAAUCUCCACGGAUGCCGCUCCCUCCCUCCCAGUCCCUCCCAGUCCCGUACAGCUGAGGCUGAGUAGGGCGGUCGGGAGGCAAAUGAUGCAGAAGAGGCGAACAGUAAAUGUAAUGUUCACAUGUGACAGGGGUCAUCCUGCCUGACUGGGAGAGAUUGUUACAUAAGUCUAAAUGGGCGGAUAGCUGGUGGAUAUUACACUAGUUAUUUAUGGGUGGUAGUUCCUUAUGGGUGGCCUUUCCUUAUGGGUGGUAUAGGGUGGUACUUCCUUAUUGUGGUAUAGGGUGGUAGUUCCUUAUGGGUGGUAUAGGGUGGUAGUUCUUUAUUGUGGUAUAGGGUGGUAGUUCCUUAUGGGUGGUACUUCCUUAUGGGUGGUACUUCCUUAUGGGUGGUAUAGGGUGGUACUUCCUUAUGGGUGGUACUUCCUUAUGGGUGGUCCUUCUUGUGGGUGGUAUAGGGUGGUAGUUCCUUAUGGGUGGUAGUUCCUUGUGUGUGGUAUAGGGUGGUAGUUCUUUAUGGGUGGUAGUUCCUUAUGGGUGGUAUGGGUGGUAGUUCCUUAUGGGUGGUUGUUCCUUAUGGGUGGUAUAGGGUGGUACUUCCUUAUGGGUGGUAUAGGGUGGUAGUUCCUUAUUGUGGUAUAGGGUGGUAGUUCCUUAUGGGUGGUAGUUCCUUAUGGGUGGUACUUCCUUAUGGGUGGUCCUUAUGGGUGGUAUAGGGUGGUAGUUCCUUAUGGGUGGUAUAGGGUGGUAGUUCCUUAUGGGUGGUAUGGGUGGUAGUUCCUUAUGGGUGGUAUUGGGUGGUACUUCCUUAUGGUUGGUAUAGGGUGGUACUUCCUUAUGGGUGGUACUUCCUUAUGGGUGGUAUAGGGUGGUAGUUCCUUAUUGUGGUAUAGGGUGGUAGUUCCUUAUGGGUGGUAUAGGGUGGUAGUUCCUUAUGGGUGGUACUUCCUUAUGGGUGGUCCUUCCUUAUGUGUGGUAUAGGGUUGUACUUCCUUAUGGGUGGUCCUUAUGGGUGGUCCUUCCUUGUGGGUGGUAGUUCCUUAUGGGUGGUUGUUCCUUGUGUGUGGUAUAGGGUGGUAUUCUUUAUGGGUGGUAGUUCUUUAUGGGUGGUAUAGGGUGGUUGUUCUUUAUGGGUGGUAGUUCUUUAUGGGUGGUAUAGGGUGGUAGUUCUUUAUGGGUGGUAGUUCCUUAUGUGUGGUAUAGGGUGGUAGUUCUUUAUGGGUGGCAGUUCUUUAUGGGUGGUAUAGGGUGGUAGUUCUUUAUGGGUGGUAUAGGGUGGUAGUUCCUUAUUUAUUUAUUUAUUUAUUUUCACCUUUAUUUAACCAGGUAGGCAAGUUGAGAACAAGUUCUCAUUUCAUCAUUUCUCAUUCUCAUCAAGUUCUCUUAUGGGUGGUAGUUCCUUAUGGGUGGUAGUUCCUUAUGGGUGGUACUUCCUUAUGUGUGGUGUAGUGUGGUACUUCCUUAUGGGUGGUAGUUCCCAAUGGGUGGUAUAGGGUUGCAGUUCAUUAUGGGUGGUAUAUUUGGUGGGUGGUGUUUAUGGGUGGGGUAGGGUGGUUUAGGGUGGUGUUCUUUAUGGGUGGUAUAUUUGGUAGGUGGUG